rnacentral:rRNA from 1 species
GGGGAGCAAUUUCCUUGGCGCACGGGUGCGUAACACGUAUGCAACCUGCCCACAACUGGGGGAUAACCUUCCGAAAGGGAGGAUAAUACCGCAUGACACACUGUUUCUGCAUGGGGGCGGUGUCAAAGCUUCGGCGGUUGUGGAUGGGCAUGCGGACGAUUAGCUAGUUGGCGGGGUAACGGCCCACCAAGGCGACGAUCGUUAGGGGAACUGAGAGGUUGGUCCCCCACACUGGCACUGAGAUACGGGCCAGACUCCUACGGGAGGCAGCAGUAGGGAAUAUUGGUCAAUGGGCGGAAGCCUGAACCAGCCAUGCCGCGUGCAGGAAGAAGGCCCUCUGGGUUGUAAACUGCUUUUGACAGGGAACAAGUCGGCCAUGCGUGGCUAAGUGAGUGUACCUGUAGAAUAAGCCACGGCUAACUACGUGCCAGCAGCCGCGGUAAUACGUAGGUGGCAAGCGUUGUCCGGAUUUAUUGGGUUUAAAGGGUGCGUAGGCGGCCAUGUAAGUCAGUUGUGAAAUACCCCGGCUCAACCGGGGGGGUGCGAUUGAUACUGCGUGGCUUGAGUGGCAGCGAGGUUGGCGGAAUUGACGGUGUAGCGGUGAAAUGCAUAGAUAUCGUCAAGAACACCGAUAGCGAAGGCAGCCAACUAGGGGCCAACUGACGCUGAGGCACGAAAGUGCGGGGAUCAAACAGGAUUAGAUACCCUGGUAGUCCGCACAGUAAACGAUGAUCACUCGGUGUUGGCGAUAUACAGCCAGCGCCCAAGGGAAACCGAUAAGUGAUCCACCUGGGGAGUACG